AUGGGCUAAAGCGUCGUAGCUGGCUGCGCAAGUCCGUCGGGAAAUCCACUCGCCCAACGAGUGGGCGUCCGACGGAAACUGCACAGCUUGGGACCGGAAGGCUCGAAGGGUACGUUCGGGGUAGGAGUGAAAUCCUAUAAUCCCGCACGGACCACCGAUGGCGAAAGCACUUCGAGAAAACGGAUCCGACAGUGAGGGACGAAAGCCAGGGUCUCCAAC
rnacentral:rRNA from 1 species